GUGGCUCAGCUGGAUAGCGCGUCAGACUCCGACUCUGAAGGUCGCAGGUUCAAAUCCUGUC
rnacentral:tRNA from 1 species